rnacentral:rRNA from 1 species
CCAGCCCGCUCAGAACUUAAAGGAAUUGACGGGGCCCGCACAAGCGGUGAGCAUGUGGUUAAUUCGAUGAUACGCGAGGAACCUUACCUGGGCUCAAAUGUAUGUUGACGUAUUCUGAAAGGGAUACUUCUUCGGACAAUAUACAAGGUGCUGCAUGGUUGUCGUCAGCUCGUGCCGUGAGGUGUCGGGUUAAGUCCCAUAACGAGCGCAACCCCUAUCAUUAGUUGCCAUCAGGUCAAGCUGGGGACUCUAAUGAAACUGCCUACGCAAGUAGUGAGGAAGGUGGGGAUGACGUCAAAUCAUCAUGCCCCUUAUGAUCUGGGCUACACACGUGCUACAAUGGCCGGUACAACGGGCAGCGAAGGAGCGAUCCGGAGCGAAUCCUAAAAAGCCGGUCCCAGUUCGGAUUGCAGGCUGAAACUCGCCUACAUGAAGUUGGAGUUGCUAGUAAUCGCGAAUCAGAAUGUCGCGGUGAAUACGUUCCCGGGCCUU